GGCGGACGGGUGAGUAACACGUGGAUAACCUACCUAUAAGACUGGGAUAACUUCGGGAAACCGGAGCUAAUACCGGAUAAUAUAUUGAACCGCAUGGUUCAAUAGUGAAAGACGGUUUUGCUGUCACUUAUAGAUGGAUCCGCGCCGUAUUAGCUAGUUGGUAAGGUAACGGCUUACCAAGGCGACGAUGCGUAGCCGACCUGAGAGGGUGAUCGGCCACACUGGAACUGAGACACAGUCCAG
rnacentral:rRNA from 1 species